rnacentral:rRNA from 1 species
CUUGCUGUUUCGCUGACGAGUGGCGGACGGGUGAGUAAUGUCUGGGAAACUGCCUGAUGGAGGGGGAUAACUACUGGAAACGGUAGCUAAUACCGCAUAACGUCGCAAGACCAAAGAGGGGGACCUUCGGGCCUCUUGCCAUCGGAUGUGCCCAGAUGGGAUUAGCUAGUAGGUGGGGUAACGGCUCACCUAGGCGACGAUCCCUAGCUGGUCUGAGAGGAUGACCAGCCACACUGGAACUGAGACACGGUCCAGACUCCUACGGGAGGCAGCAGUGGGGAAUAUUGCACAAUGGGCGCAAGCCUGAUGCAGCCAUGCCGCGUGUAUGAAGAAGGCCUUCGGGUUGUAAAGUACUUUCAGCGGGGAGGAAGGGAGUAAAGUUAAUACCUUUACUCAUUGACGUUACCCGCAGAAGAAGCACCGGCUAACUCCGUGCCAGCAGCCGCGGUAAUACGGAGGGUGCAAGCGUUAAUCGGAAUUACUGGGCGUAAAGCGCACGCAGGCGGUUUGUUAAGUCAGAUGUGAAUCCCCGGGCUCAACCUGGGAACUGCAUCUGAUACUGGCAAGCUUGAGUCUCGUAGAGGGGGGUAGAAUUCCAGGUGUAGCGGUGAAAUGCGUAGAGAUCUGGAGGAAUACCGGUGGCGAAGGCG